rnacentral:sRNA from 1 species
UCUCCUUUUGUUGGAAAAUUAAAAUACUUGGCGGAAGUUAACCUAAGUCAUACAUUGCAACUGUUUGGAAAGUUUUGCUGUUUUCGUAUGGAAGUUUCUGGCAAGCAGAUUGGACCAUCAUGUGUUUGCCUCGAAGUUAAUUCAUAUACAUUUGGAAAGAUUAUAGUUUUUCAAUAUAUUACACCAAUCGAACCGUUGUUUCAAAAAGUUGUUCAUCAGUUUUAUGGUCCUCGUUGGAUUGCGCCACUUAUGAAAAUUUUUAUUUAUGGAGAAAGUCUCAUGUUCGAACGCGAUAUUAACAUAUGGAAUCAUAAAGUAUUUCAUCGGAAUCCUAUAUUAGCUAAGGAAGAUACAUCGAUAAAGAAGUUUAGGUUGUGGUUCUCCCAAUUUUAUUCGUCGAACAGCAAAUCAUAUUCCGAAGCAACCAACAUGGGUUGGUAACUAAAAAUGUACUGAAAUUUAAAAUUUUAU